GGUCUCGUUAAAGUCACCACACAGAGAGCUCUGGGGCAGCCACCCCCUCCGGAGCCCUCAGCCAGCUCCAUGGUUCCCAUCCCAGCUUCUAGCCCCCCAGCCAAUGCCACCGCACCUCCCCUACGUUGGGGACCCCUGCGGCGGGUGCUGAGUUUUUCCUGGGAGCUUCAUGUUUAUGGGGUGGGAGUGCUUUUCCUGCUUCCAGCAUUGUUGGCAUUGGUCACACUGGCAGCCGCCCUAGCGGGACCCCGAUUGGCAUUAGUGGCUGCCGUGCUGGUGUUGGUGGCUUCAGGGCUCCGAUCUGCCUACAUGCUCACGGAUCCUUAUGGCUCUCAGGCCCGGCUGGGAGUACGUGCAGGUCUGGUGCUAUACAACUUGCCCUUCCCCUUGCUACUCACUGCUCUGGC
rnacentral:lncRNA from 1 species